rnacentral:rRNA from 1 species
AUUGCACGCUGGCGGCAGGCCUAACACAUGCAAGUCGAGCGAGCGGCGGAGGGGUGAGUAGUGUCGGGAAAACUGCCUGAUGGAGGGGGAAAACUACUGGAAAAGGUAGCUAAUACCGCAUACCAUCAGAUGUGCCCAGAUGGGUUUAUCUAGUAGGUGGGGUAAUGGCGCACCUAGGCGACGAUCCCUAGCUGGUCUGAGAGGAUGACCAGCCAAACUGGAACUGAGACACGGUCCAGACUCCUACGGGAGGCAGCAGUGGGGAAUAUUGGACAAUGGGCGCAAGCCUGAUGCAGCCAUGCCGCGUGAGUGAAGAAGGCCGUCGGGUUGUAAAGCACUUUCAGCGAGGAGGCGUUACCCGCAGAAGAAGCACCGGCUAACUCCGUGCCAGCAGCCGCGGUAAUUC